CCGACGGUGAGAGACGAAAGCUGGGGGCACGAACCGGAUUAGAUACCCGGGUAGUCCCGGCCGUAAACGAUGCUCGCUAGGUGUCUGGGAUGGUGCGACCGUUUCAGGUGCCGCAGGGAAGCCGUGAAGCGAGCCACCUGGGAAGUACGGCCGCAAGGCUGAAACUUAAAGGAAUUGGCGGGGGAGCACUACAACGGGUGGAGCCUGCGGUUUAAUUGGACUCAACGCCGGAAAACUCACCUGGGGC
rnacentral:rRNA from 1 species